UCCCCGGCCGACAGGUAUGUCCGCACGUUGUUUCUCUUCGCUGGUCGUUUAGUUUAGUCAUGAUGCUCCAGGCCUUGGUGUUGUGUUGUCGGGCGCCUGGUUGUGUGCUGCUCCGUGCUCCGCUCCGUGCUCCCUGUGCGCGCUGCUGUGGUUCUGUCGGCGGGUGUAAGUGUCAUCUCUCUCUGGUCGCUGGUUGGUGCUGCUAGGUGGCUAAUGCUAGCGUGGACUCAGUUGCUGGUGAUCUGGUGGUGGCAUCCUCCCGUCUUGUCUUGCUGUGUCCCUGGGAGCGGGUUUUUCAUCACUGAGAGUGUCUGCCACGUGUGCUUGGGGAUUUUGUGGUGAUUUCUUUGGUGGAUCCCUUCCCUGCCCUAGCCUUCGUCCAUCCACUUUGGCCUAAGCCCUGAUUAGGUUUUCCCCCUUUUUGUUGGUAUGAAUGAGUUUUAUUGAGAUUUUAGAAUGAAUGUUUAAUAAAAAUUUCAUGUUAACUUGGAA